rnacentral:rRNA from 1 species
UGGGGAAUUUUGGACAAUGGGCGAAAGCCUGAUCCAGCAAUGCCGCGUGUGUGAAGAAGGCCUUCGGGUUGUAAAGCACUUUUGUCCGGAAAGAAAUCCUUGGCUCUAAUACAGUCAGGGGAUGACGGUACCGGAAGAAUAAGCACCGGCUAACUACGUGCCAGCAGCCGCGGUAAUACGUAGGGUGCAAGCGUUAAUCGGAAUUACUGGGCGUAAAGCGUGCGCAGGCGGUUUGCUAAGACCGAUGUGAAAUCCCCGGGCUCAACCUGGGAACUGCAUUGGUGACUGGCAGGCUAGAGUAUGGCAGAGGGGGGUAGAAUUCCACGUGUAGCAGUGAAAUGCGUAGAGAUGUGGAGGAAUACCGAUGGCGAAGGCAGCCCCUGGGCCAAUACUGACGCUCAUGCACGAAAGCGUGGGGA